rnacentral:rRNA from 1 species
GAUGAACGCUGACAGAAUGCUUAACACAUGCAAGUCAACUUGAACUUCGGUUUGGGUGGCGGACGGGUGAGUAACGCGUAAAGAACUUGCCUCACAGCUAGGGACAACAUUUGGAAACGAAUGCUAAUACCUGAUAUUAUGAUUAUAUGGCAUCGUAUAAUUAUGAAAGCUAUAUGCGCUGUGAGAGAGCUUUGCGUCCCAUUAGCUAGUUGGAGAGGUAACAGCUCACCAAGGCGAUGAUGGGUAGCCGGCCUGAGAGGGUGAUCGGCCACAAGGGGACUGAGACACGGCCCUUACUCCUACGGGAGGCAGCAGUGGGGAAUAUUGGACAAUGGACCGAGAGUCUGAUCCAGCAAUUCUGUGUGCACGAUGAAGCUUUUCGGAAUGUAAAGUGCUUUCAGUUGGGAAGAAAAAAAUGACGGUACCAACAGAAGAAGUGACGGCUAAAUACGUG